rnacentral:rRNA from 1 species
UGGGGAAUUUUGGACAAUGGGCGCAAGCCUGAUGCAGCAACGCCGCGUGAGUGAAGAAGGCCUUCGGGUCGUAAAGCUCUGUCCUGUGGGACGAAACAAAUGACGGUACCACAGGAGGAAGCCCCGGCUAACUACGUGCCAGCAGCCGCGGUAAUACGUAGGGGGCAAGCGUUAUCCGGAAUCACUGGGCGUAAAGGGUGCGUAGGUGGUCCAUCAAGUCAGAAGUGAAAGGCAGCGGCUUAACCGCUGUAAGCUUUUGAAACUGACGGACUUGAGUGCAGGAGAGGUAAGUGGAAUUCCUAGUGUAGCGGUGAAAUGCGUAGAUAUUAGGAGGAACACCAGUGGCGAAGGCGACUUACUGGACUGUUACUGACACUGAGGCACGAAAGCGUGGGGAGCAAACA